rnacentral:rRNA from 1 species
UACGUAGGGGGGCAAGCGUUGUUCGGAAUUAUUGGGCGUAAAGGGCGCGUAGGCGGUUUGACAAGUCUGAUGUGAAAUCUAUGGGCUCAACCCAUAGCCUGCAUUAGAAGCUGUCGGGCUUGAGUAUGGGAGAGGUGAGUGGAAUUUCCGGUGUAGCGGUGAAAUGCGUAGAUAUCGGAAGGAACACCUGUGGCGAAAGCGGCUCACUGGACCAUAACUGACGCUGAGGCGCGAAAGCUAGGGGAGCAAACAGG